UUGGCCGGUGCUUUAACCAUGAAAGGCCACGGCUAACUACGUGCCCAGCAGCCGCGGUUAUUUUUUAGGUGCCAAGCAUUUUCUCGGAAUUAUUGGGCGUAAAGGGCUCGGCAGGCGGUUUUUUAUGUCUGGAGUGGAAAGCCCCCGGCUCAACACGGGGAGGGUCAUAUGAAACAGUGGAACUUGAGUGCAGAAGAGGAGAGUGGAAUUCCACCUGUAGCGGUGAAAUGUGUAGAGAUGUGGAGGAACACCAUUGGUGAAGGCGACUCUCUGGUCUGUAACUGACGCUGAGGAGCGAAAGCGGGGGAGCGAACACGAUUAGAUACCCUGGUAGUUCACGCCGUAAACGAUGAGUGCUAAGUGUUAGGGGGUUUCCGCCCCUUAGUGCUGCAGCUAACGCAUUAAGCACUCCGCCCGGGGAGUACGGUCGCAAGACUGAAACUCAAAGGAAUUGACGGGGGCCCGCACAAGCGGUGGAGCAUGUGGUUUAAUUUGAAGCAACGCGAAGAACCUUACCAGGUCUUGACAUCCUCUGACAAUCCUAGAGAUAGGACGUCCCCUUCGGGGGCAGAGUGACAGGUGGUGCAUGGUUGUCGUCAGCUCGUGUCGUGAGAUGUUGGGUUAAGUCCCGCAACGAGCGCAACCCUUGAUCUUAGUUGCCAGCAUUCAGUUGGGCACUCUAAGGUGACUGCCGGUGACAAACCGGAGGAAGGUGGGGAUGACGUCAAAUCAUCAUGCCCCUUAUGACCUGGGCUACACACGUGCUACAAUGGACAGAACAAAGGGCAGCGAAACCGCGAGGUUAAGCCAAUCCCACAAAUCUGUUCUCAGUUCGGAUCGCAGUCUGCAACUCGACUGCGUGAAGCUGGAAUCGCUAGUAAUCGCGGAUCAGCAUGCCGCGGUGAAUACGUUCCCGGGCCUUGUACACACCGCCCGUCACACCACGAGAGUUUGUAACACCCGAAGUCGGUGAGGUAACCUUUUAGGAGCCAGCCGCCGAAGNUGNNCANNAGGG
rnacentral:rRNA from 2 species